AUCAAUAUAGCAAAGUAUAAUGCACAGGACCUAAGCCCCUGCAUCAAAGGUAAUCCUUUUAUUGAUA
rnacentral:tRNA from 1 species